UCACUGCUGAAAACACAUACGGGUGUGUUUUUUCGAUCGCAACGCCUGUGCGGCCGCACACGUUUUACGUGUUUUCUUAAUUCUCCAUACGGCAGUGCGGGCUCACACGUAAAGCGCGUUUUGCCGUUGUAACGCCUAUGCGGCUUCACACGCAAAGCGUGUUAAGCCGACGUAACGACUAUGCGGACAACACAUACGUCUGUGUUUUGAUAUAAUAAGUAGAAUUUAUCUCUGUGGAAUCUUUAUUUUGAUAAAGUUUAAUGAAAAAUAAUAAGUGUGUCUUAUAUAAGGUAUAAUUAAAGACAAGUGUUUGUAUGGAUCAAGGGAAAAUCAUAAAUAAUAAAAAUCGGCGCGGCUUAUAAUUUCGGUAGGUUAGCUUUUGUGCAUAUUCUUUUAGUUCGAAAUAAAGAUAACAUUAUUUUAGGAUCCUUUUAUUUGGAAUUACUGAGAAAUUAAAAAAGGUCAAAAGAGCGCGGCGGCCCCUUUGUUCCGACAUAAGUUGUGCAUUUUACUGAACUUCAAGGUCAAGAAAAAGUCUAUUAUUAAGUGUGCACGUGCAGGUCAUAAAGAUUUUGUAUAGAACAAAAGAAAAUGAUAAGGAACGACGCGGUUUAAAAUAGUUUCGGUAGGCUAGCUUUUGUGCAUAUUCUUAACCCUGAAUGCGCGACUUUUUGCUUAUGAAAAUAAGCUCAUUAAAUUAAUGUAAAAUACCUACUAUGACUCCAACACUUAGAGACAAAUGUUUAAAAUAAAGUUGUUUUAUUAAAAUGAUCCAAAAGUAUUUAAUCAAUGCCCCUUAAUAAUUUAAUUUUGAUAGUUAUAUUGGUACCUAUAUGUAUUAUUUUUGAGCUUAUGAUAAUUUUUAUAUUGCUACGAAUCUCCCUAUAGCCAAUACGGGCGGAGCAGUAAAGAAAAAUGUUGCGAAAACGGGAAUGUUAUAAGCUGAAGUUUUCUUUGUUUGAACACGCUAAUCUCGGUCACUACUGAACCAAUUUCAGAAAUUGUUUCACUGUUAAUGUACCUACGUGAUCCCUGAGUACUAUAAGCUAUAAAUGUACUACAGGAAAAGCCAGGGCAGACCACUAGAACAACAAUAAAGUAGUAUUUUUUUAACUUUAUCUUAUUAAAACGUUGCACUCCCGAACCCAGAGAGGUUUUCGCCAAAACAAUGUAAUUUGUGUAAUUUUUAUAAAAAUCAUGCUAUAAAUAAAGUAUAUAUACAGGAUUAUAGGUAUACCAAAUAAUAAUAUACCAAAUAUAAAAUGUAGGUUUCAGCAACACUGCGCAUUUAGGGUUAAGCUUAAACGAAGAUAACAUUAUCUAAGUUCUUUUUAUUUUCAAUUGGAGAUAAGCAAAAAUACUACAGUAAGUAAAUGCUUUGUUCGAAAACAAACAAAAGAGCGGCGGUCCUUUUGUUCAAGAAAUAAGUGAUAAAAAAGCGGCAUUCCUAUUGUUCAGCAAAACAUAUUGUAAAAUCUUUACCUGUGUAGUGAUAUAAAACAAUGGACAGGUAUAUUAUGACGAAGCCAAAGGGUGGGGGGUCAGUGAAUUGGGUUGUAAAUGUAGUCAGUCUGCUUUCGACCUCGCAAGUGUUCGGUACGCUCUUUGCUACUGUUCAGUAUUGUGAAGUGUUUGUGUAGUGGAUUUUACGAUGUCCGCCGACGACAUUGACAACCAACUUUCGGAAAUCUUCCGUGAUACGGAUGCCGGCGGCUGGGCUUCCUCAUAUUCCUCCUCUUCCGAGGAGGAGGAUGAGGUCCAAGACCAGGCGGCCGACUCCUCUGAGGAGGAUGAGGUCGAAGACCAGGCGGCCGACUUCUCUGAGGAUGUGUGGGAACCGACGGGCCAGCUUCCGUCGUUCCCAUGCACCAACGUGGGAACUCACAAUAUAGGACCAGCUGAGACCCCUAUCGAUUUUUUUAAUUUAUUAUUUAACACCACAUUUAUGACUAUUUUAGUAAACAGCAUAAAUACCCACGCAAUACAAGUGCUUUUGGAGAGCCCACAUGAGCAUAGUAGAAUUUCAAAUUGGAAAGAUACCAACAUAGAAGAACUCUAUGUUUUUCUAGGCCUAUUAUUCCACAUGGGCCAUAUUAAAUUAAACAGAAUUAACGAUUACUGGAAAACAGACGUCUUAUACGAUCUGCCGUUUAAAAAUUUUAUGAGCCGCGAUAGAUUUUUAUUAAUUUUACGUAAUUUGUCUUUUUCCGAUCCAAAUUUAACUUUUGCCACUACUGAUCCCAAUAAAUUUACCAAACCUAUUAUAGAUUUUUUUAACAAUACUAUGAAAAUGCUGGUGGUCCCUCCAAAAAACUUGACUAUUGACGAAAGUGUGGUUUUGUGGCGCGGGCGGUUAAAAAUUAGACAAUUUAUACAAGGUAAAAGGCAUAAAUAUGGUGUGAAAUUAUAUAUCCUCACAGACCCUAAAGGCAUGACGCAGAAAAUUCACAUGUAUUGUGGAUCACAUGACGUUCUCCUUCGAGGAAAAGGUCAUGCUGAUAAAGUAGUGAUGAUGUUGAUGGAAGACUAUUUAAACGCAGGACACUCUUUAUACAUGGACAAUUUUUAUAAUAGCGUUUCUUUAGCGGAAAAUCUAUUAGCAAAUAAAACUUAUUUGACUGGUACUUUGAGGGCCAAUAGAUCACGUAAUCCCGAGAUUACAAGGGCUAAGUUGCCUAAAAACCAAGUACAAUCACGGUACAAUUCGCGUGGAGUAUGUGUCUCUAAUUAUAGAGACAAACGAACGGUCCUCAUGAUAUCCACUGAGCACGAUGCUGACUUCAUAAAUUAUACCAAUAAAAGAGGUCAAACUGUCGCAAAACCUAGAGUCGUCCAUGAGUAUAAUAAGUAUAUGAAAGGUGUUGACAGGAAAGAUCAGAUGCUGUCUUAUUAUGCUUGUUACAAUAAAUCCACGAGGUGGUAUAAAAAAAUAAUUACACAUGUUAUGCAAGUCAUGAUGUUAAAUGCAUUCAUGAUGUACAGUAAUAGUCAGGCCAAUUCAAAUUGUAGUUUUUAUGAUUUCCGUAUAAAUGUUGUUAGAAAAUUGUUAAACGCAGACAGACAGACAAACAGACAGACAGUAACUUCUCGUCGAACAGGGGAUUUUAUUCAUUGGCCAUUACAUUUACCUAAAAAUGCUAAAGGCGUUACAAAACGCAAAGAUUGCCGCUAUUGCUUAGAAAAGUUGAAACUCCGAAAAGCUGCAACAUUUUACUGUACUCAUUGCAACAAAAAACCCGGCUUGCAUCUUGGUUGUUUUAAAGAUUAUCAUGGUUAUCGUUAAGUUUAGUUCAUUAUUUUGUAAAUUCUCCCCGAGUCCAAUCAGCCUGGUCCCAAUGUCAACGCCUAAAAUAUAUUUAUUUUAUUAUAAUUUAGCAAAGUAGGUAGGUAAAUGUACUUAUCAUUUACUUUGUGCUCAGUUAUUGUAGCUUGUUUAGAUUUUUUAUAUAUUUGCACUUUAUCACCAUACUCCACAUAAAAUUAAAAUUUUCAGUGCAUAUUAAGUCUAAUUAUUGUUAAUUUUCAGUUCUUCCACUGACAUUGUUACUAACUAUAUGUAGUUAAACUUUAUUUUAAUAGCGAUUGCGUCAUUCCUGUGUGCUUGUGAUGUACAUAUAAAAUGUUAUUAUAUUAAUUUAUUUCUUAAUGUUACAUUUAAUAAUCAACAAUUUUCUUUUUUUUUUCAGAGUGCACGCAGUGGAGAAUAGCCUUGAUAUUUUUUUUUUUCAUUUUAUAAUAAUAAAUGAAUCUUUUCUUUUUGUUUCAGAGUGCGCGCGGAGGAGAUAAAUUUUAUUUUCUUUUUUUUUUAUAAUAAUAAUCCUUUCUUUUUGUUUCAGAGUACGCGGUGCGGAGAAAAUAAUAUUGAUUUUUCCCAUUUUAUUAUAAUUAUUAAUCCAUUCUCUUUUUUUUUGCAGGGUGCAUGCGGUGUAUAAUAUUAUUUUAUUUUUAGAUUAUUAUAUUUUGUAAACUAAAAGUGACAAAUGUGUAGUAAUCACACUAAAAUCACUUUUAGGAAUUAUUUGUAUUAGUUUGUUAAUGGCAUUUUAUAAUUUACUAUGUAGUAUUUAAUUUUUAUACUAAACAUAAUAGUUUUAUGUAUAUUUAAAUUAGUAUAAUAUUUUCCCUAUUUUCUGAGAGGGUAUUGUGUUAUUUCACCUUUGUGAUAAUCAUAGUUCUAUCAUAAUUUAAUUUAAUUUAAAAGCCCCUAAUUUACUGAAAGGAGGUUGGAUUAGUUCAUCUCUGCAAUUCUUGAUUGUAAAGAUGAUCCAUAAUCCAAGGGAGAGUGGUGGGUCCUCCAAUGCCCUCUCAUUUUU